rnacentral:rRNA from 1 species
GAUCAUGGCUCAGGAUGAACGCUGGCGGCGUGCUUAACACAUGCAAGUCGAACGGAGUUUUAACGGAAGUUUCGGAUGGAAGUUUAAGAACUUAGUGGCGGACGGGUGAGUAACGCGUGGGUAACCUGCCUCAUACAGGGGGAUAACAGUUAGAAAUGACUGCUAACACCGCAUAAUAUAGCGAAACCGCAUGAUUUUGCUAUCAAAUAUUUAUAGGUAUGAGAUGGGCCCGCGUCUGAUUAGCUAGUUGGUGGGGUAAAAGCCUACCAAGGCGACGAUCAGUAGCCGGCUUGAGAGAGUGACCGGCCACAUUGGGACUGAGACACGGCCCAAACUCCUACGGGAGGCAGCAGUGGGGAAUAUUGGACAAUGGGGGAAACCCUGAUCCAGCGAACCGCCGCGUGAGUGAAGAAGUAUUUCGGUAUGUAAAGCUCUAUCAGCAGGGAAGAUAAUGACAGUACCUGACUAAGAAGCCCCGGCUAACUACGUGCCAGCAGCCGC